rnacentral:lncRNA from 1 species
CUCAGGUCUCUACUCCAUCCUUUAAACUGCAAUUUCAAGUUUCUUCUUGAUCAUUUUCAUCUCACAAUCUUGUAGUCUUGGCUGUAUAUUGGCCAGAUUUCAUCAGCUAAGGUAGUGGGCUCCCUUUCCUGUUUUGUAUCCUUACCUGCUCAAUAAUCUGACAGGUAUAUGCCUAACAGGCAUAUGUUGCCUAGAUUAAACUGAUAUGAACCCUCCUAUCCCAUUUUCUGCUGUUGCUGCUGCCUCAUCUCUUGACUCUUUAUUCCUUAGGAUGAGUGCCAUAGCUAUGAUUUGUGAUUGACGUGAUGUUACAAUCUCUUAGAUGCAAAGAGAAAAAGUGCCCAGAGGCUCUAACAGGAGCACUUGAGCCAAUGCAGCGAAGCUGGGAGACUGACAGCUGCAAUAGGAGGAAAUGCAACUGCUGGUCUUACAGAGGUACCCAAAGAUU